CCUAUCCGGAGGCGGAACCGGCAGUGCGGCCCGAAGUCCCACAGUCACCGAGCGCGCCCGGCCAUGCGCCCCCUGCGCCCCCGCGCGACGCUGCUCGCGGUCCUGGCCUCGCUCCUGGCCGCUCCCCCGGUGGUCCCGGCCGAGGCCCCGCACCUGGUGCAGGUGGACGCGGCACGCACGCUGUGGCCCCUGCGGCGCUUCUGGAGGAGCACAGGCUUCUGCCCCCCGCUGCCACACAGCCAGGCUGACCAGUACGUCCUCAGCUGGGACCAGCAACUCAACCUCGCCUAUGUGGGCGCCGUCCCUCACCGUGGCAUCGAGCAGGUCCGGACCCACUGGCUGCUGGAGCUUGUCACCACCAGGGGGUCCACUGGACGGGGCCCAAGCUACAACUUCACCCACCUGGAUGGGUACCUGGACCUUCUCACGGAGAACCAGCUCCUCCCAGGUGAGCUGUGGGCUCUGCCCUCCCAGCCCUCCUGCACCCUCUUGCCCUGCCUACCCUCUCCCUCACCCAGCCCCUCCGGGUCCUUGGAUGUCCAUUCAGGGCUGGCCUUGGUGCCGGAGCACGACCUGGCAGAGCAUGGGUGUCAUGUGUGGUGGGCAGUGGGGCAGCCCUCCUGUGUUCCAGGGUUUGAGCUGAUGGGCAGCGCCUCGGGCCACUUCACCGACUUUGAGGACAAGCAGCAGGUGUUUGAGUGGAAGGACUUGGUCUCCAGCCUGGCCAGGAGAUACAUCGGUAGGUACGGACUGGCGCAUGUUUCCAAAUGGAACUUCGAGACGUGGAACGAGCCGGACCACCACGACUUUGACAACGUCUCCAUGACCAUGCAAGGCUUCCUGAACUACUACGAUGCCUGCUCGGAGGGUCUGCGCGCGGCCAGCCCGGCCCUGCGGCUGGGAGGCCCUGGCGACUCCUUCCACACCCCACCGCGAUCCCCGCUGAGCUGGGGCCUCCUGCGCCACUGCCACGACGGUACCAACUUCUUCACCGGGGAGGUGGGCGUGCGGCUGGACUACAUCUCCCUCCACAGGAAGGGUGCGCGCAGCUCCAUCUCCAUCCUGGAGCAGGAGAAGGCCGUCGCGCAGCAGAUCCGGCAGCUCUUCCCCAAGUUUGCGGACACCCCCAUUUACAACGACGAGGCGGACCCGCUGGUGGGCUGGUCCCUGCCCCAGCCGUGGAGGGCUGACGUGACCUAUGCGGCCAUGGUGGUGAAGGUCAUCGCCCAGCAUCAGAACCUGCUACUGGCCAACACCAGCUCCACCAUCCCCUACGCGCUCCUGAGCAACGACAACGCCUUCCUGAGCUACCACCCGCACCCCUUCGCGCAGCGCACGCUCACCGCGCGCUUCCAGGUCAACAACACCCGCCCGCCGCACGUGCAGCUGGUGCGCAAGCCGGUGCUCACAGCCAUGGGGCUGCUGGCGCUUCUGGGUGAGCCCGGGCCGCUGGGGUGGGCCGGCCAAGGCCCUCCAGGCUGGGGAGCGGCUCCUGCGAAGGCACCGCUGCGGGGAGCACGCCUCUUCCAGCCGCGCGCUUCCCGGCGUCGGCCUCCGCGUGGCAGGGCCUGGGGACUCCUUCAUGAAGGGGAGGGGGAGCGAGUGGUGGGAGGCCCGGUCCUGGGUUGGGGGGCGGCGGGGCAACGACCCCACGCGGCGACGGUCCCCGCGUCCCGCAGACGAGGAGCAGCUCUGGGCCGAGGUGUCUCGGGCCGGGACGGUCCUGGACAGCAACCACACGGUGGGCGUCCUGGCCAGCGCCCACCGCCCCGAGGGCCCAGCCGACGCCUGGCGUGCGGCCGUGCUGAUCUACGCGAGCGACGACACCCGCGCCCACCCCAACCGCAGCGUCGCGGUGACGCUGCGGCUGCGCGGGGUGACCCCCGGCCCGGGCCUGGUCUAUGUCACGCGCUACCUGGACAACCGGCUCUGCAGCCCCGACGGCGAGUGGCGGCGCCUGGGCCGGCCUGUCUUCCCCUCUGCCGAGCAGUUCCGGCGCAUGCGCGCGGCCGAGGAACCUGUGGCCGCGGCGCCGCGCCCCUUCCCCGCCAGCGGCCGCCUGACCCUGCGCCCCGCGCUGCGACUGCCGUCGCUUCUGCUGGUGCACGUGUGCGCGCGCCCUGAGAAGCCGCCCGGCCAGGUCACGCGGCUCCGUGCCCUGCCCUUGACCCAAGGGCAGCUGGUUCUGGUCUGGUCGGAUGAACACGUGGGCUCCAAGUGCGUGCCUGUGGACAUACGAGAUCCAGUUCUCUCAGGAUGGUAAGGUGUACACCCCAGUCAGCAGAAAGCCAUCGACCUUCAAUCUCUUUGUGUUCAGCCCAGACACAGGUACUGUCUCCGGCUCCUACCGAGUUCGAGCUCUGGACUACUGGGCCCGACCAGGCCCCUUCUCCAACCCUGUGCCAUAUCUGGAGGUCCCUGUGCCAAGAGGGCCCCCAGCCCCUGGAAAUCCAUGA